rnacentral:rRNA from 1 species
GAUGAACGCUGGCGGCGUGCCUAAUACAUGCAAGUCGAGCGAACGGACGAGAAGCUUGCUUCUCUGAUGUUAGCGGCGGACGGGUGAGUAACACGUGGAUAACCUACCUAUAAGACUGGGAUAACUUCGGGAAACCGGAGCUAAUACCGGAUAAUAUUUUGAACUGCAUGGUUCAAAAGUGAAAGAAGGUCUUGCUGUCACUUAUAGAUGGAUCCGCGCUGCAUUAGCUAGUUGGUAAGGUAACGGCUUACCAAGGCAACGAUGCAUAGCCGACCUGAGCGGGUGGUCGGCCAGACGGGAACUGAGGCACGGUCCAGACUCCUACGGGAGGCAGCAGUAGAGAAUCUUCCGCAAUGGGCGAAAGCCUGACGGAGCAACGCCGCGUGAGUGAUGAAGGUCUUCGGAUCGUAGAACUCUGUUAUUAGGGAAGAUCAUAUGUGUAAGUAACUGUGCACAUCUUGACGGUACCUAAUCAGAAAGCCACGGCUAACUACGUG